rnacentral:rRNA from 1 species
UUAAGCGACUAAGCGUACACGGUGGAUGCCCUGGCAGUCAGAGGCGAUGAAGGACGUGCUAAUCUGCGAUAAGCGUCGGUGAGGUGAUAUGAACCGUUAUAACCGGCGAUUUCCGAAUGGGGAAACCCAGUGUGUUUCGACACACUAUCAUUAACUGAAUCCAUAGGUUAAUGAGGCGAACCGGGGGAACUGAAACAUCUAAGUACCCCGAAGGAAAAGAAUCAACCGAGAUUCCCCCAGUAGCGGCGAGCGAACGGGGAGGAGCCCAGAGCCUGAAUCAGUGUGUGUGUUAGUGGAAGCGUCUGGAAAGGCGUGCGAUACAGGGUGACAGCCCCGUACACAAAAAUGCACAUAUUGUGAGCUCGAUGAGUAGGGCGGGACACGUGGUAUCCUGUCUGAAUAUGGGGGGACCAUCCUCCAAGGCUAAAUACUCCUGACUGACCGAUAGUGAACCAGUACCGUGAGGGAAAGGCGAAAAGAACCCCGGCGAGGGGAGUGAAAAAGAACCUGAAACCGUGUACGUACAAGCAGUGGGAGCCUCUUAAUGGGGUGACUGCGUACCUUUUGUAUAAUGGGUCAGCGACUUAUAUUCUGUAGCAAGGUUAACCGAAUAGGGGAGCCGAAGGGAAACCGAGUCUUAACUGGGCGCUAAGUUGCAGGGUAUAGACCCGAAACCCGGUGAUCUAGCCAUGGGCAGGUUGAAGGUUGGGUAACACUAACUGGAGGACCGAACCGACUAAUGUUGAAAAAUUAGCGGAUGACUUGUGGCUGGGGGUGAAAGGCCAAUCAAACCGGGAGAUAGCUGGUUCUCCCCGAAAGCUAUUUAGGUAGCGCCUCGUGAAUUCAUCUCCGGGGGUAGAGCACUGUUUCGGCAAGGGGGUCAUCCCGACUUACCAACCCGAUGCAAACUGCGAAUACCGGAGAAUGUUAUCACGGGAGACACACGGCGGGUGCUAACGUCCGUCGUGAAGAGGGAAACAACCCAGACCGCCAGCUAAGGUCCCAAAGUCAUGGUUAAGUGGGAAACGAUGUGGGAAGGCCCAGACAGCCAGGAUGUUGGCUUAGAAGCAGCCAUCAUUUAAAGAAAGCGUAAUAGCUCACUGGUCGAGUCGGCCUGCGCGGAAGAUGUAACGGGGCUAAACCAUGCACCGAAGCUGCGGCAGCGACACUAUGUGUUGUUGGGUAGGGGAGCGUUCUGUAAGCCUGUGAAGGUGGCCUGUGAGGGUUGCUGGAGGUAUCAGAAGUGCGAAUGCUGACAUAAGUAACGAUAAAGCGGGUGAAAAGCCCGCUCGCCGGAAGACCAAGGGUUCCUGUCCAACGUUAAUCGGGGCAGGGUGAGUCGACCCCUAAGGCGAGGCCGAAAGGCGUAGUCGAUGGGAAACAGGUUAAUAUUCCUGUACUUGGUGUUACUGCGAAGGGGGACGGAGAAGGCUAUGUUGGCCGGGCGACGGUUGUCCCGGUUUAAGCGUGUAGGCUGGUUUUCCAGGCAAAUCCGGAAAAUCAAGGCUGAGGCGUGAUGACGAGGCACUACGGUGCUGAAGCGACAAAUGCCCUGCUUCCAGGAAAAGCCUCUAAGCAUCAGGUAACAUCAAAUCGUACCCCAAACCGACACAGGUGGUCAGGUAGAGAAUACCAAGGCGCUUGAGAGAACUCGGGUGAAGGAACUAGGCAAAAUGGUGCCGUAACUUCGGGAGAAGGCACGCUGAUAUGUAGGUGAAGCGACUUGCUCGUGGAGCUGAAAUCAGUCGAAGAUACCAGCUGGCUGCAACUGUUUAUUAAAAACACAGCACUGUGCAAACACGAAAGUGGACGUAUACGGUGUGACGCCUGCCCGGUGCCGGAAGGUUAAUUGAUGGGGUUAGCGGCAACGCGAAGCUCUUGAUCGAAGCCCCGGUAAACGGCGGCCGUAACUAUAACGGUCCUAAGGUAGCGAAAUUCCUUGUCGGGUAAGUUCCGACCUGCACGAAUGGCGUAAUGAUGGCCAGGCUGUCUCCACCCGAGACUCAGUGAAAUUGAACUCGCUGUGAAGAUGCAGUGUACCCGCGGCAAGACGGAAAGACCCCGUGAACCUUUACUAUAGCUUGACACUGAACAUUGAGCCUUGAUGUGUAGGAUAGGUGGGAGGCUUUGAAGUGUGGACGCCAGUCUGCAUGGAGCCGACCUUGAAAUACCACCCUUUAAUGUUUGAUGUUCUAACGUUGGCCCGUAAUCCGGGUUGCGGACAGUGUCUGGUGGGUAGUUUGACUGGGGCGGUCUCCUCCUAAAGAGUAACGGAGGAGCACGAAGGUUGGCUAAUCCUGGUCGGACAUCAGGAGGUUAGUGCAAUGGCAUAAGCCAGCUUGACUGCGAGCGUGACGGCGCGAGCAGGUGCGAAAGCAGGUCAUAGUGAUCCGGUGGUUCUGAAUGGAAGGGCCAUCGCUCAACGGAUAAAAGGUACUCCGGGGAUAACAGGCUGAUACCGCCCAAGAGUUCAUAUCGACGGCGGUGUUUGGCACCUCGAUGUCGGCUCAUCACAUCCUGGGGCUGAAGUAGGUCCCAAGGGUAUGGCUGUUCGCCAUUUAAAGUGGUACGCGAGCUGGGUUUAGAACGUCGUGAGACAGUUCGGUCCCUAUCUGCCGUGGGCGCUGGAGAACUGAGGGGGGCUGCUCCUAGUACGAGAGGACCGGAGUGGACGCAUCACUGGUGUUCGGGUUGUCAUGCCAAUGGCACUGCCCGGUAGCUAAAUGCGGAAGAGAUAAGUGCUGAAAGCAUCUAAGCACGAAACUUGCCCCGAGAUGAGUUCUCCCUGACCCUUUAAGGGUCCUGAAGGAACGUUGAAGACGACGACGUUGAUAGGCCGGGUGUGUAAGCGCAGCGAUGCGUUGAGCUAACCGGUACUAAUGAACCGUGAGGCUUAACCUU